rnacentral:rRNA from 1 species
GGAUACCUACGGGGGGCAGCAGUAGGGAAUCUUCCACAAUGGACGAAAGUCUGAUGGAGCAACGCCGCGUGAGUGAAGAAGGGUUUCGGCUCGUAAAGCUCUGUUGGUAGGGAAGAAAGAUAGAGGUAGUAACUGGCCUUUAUUUUACGGUAAUUACUUAGAAAGUCACGGCUAACUACGUGCCAGCAGCCGCGGGAAUACGUAGGUGGCAAGCGAUGUCCGGAUUUAUUGGG